CUUUGUAUUGUAGCUAACGCGUUAAGCACUCCGCCUGGGGACUACGGUCGCAAGACUAAAACUCAAAGGAAUUGACGGGGACCCGCACAAGCGGUGGAGCAUGUGGUUUAAUUCGAUGCUACGCGAGAAACCUUACCACUUUUUGACAUGAAGGUCGUAUCCCUCCUAACAGGGGGAGUCAGUUCGGCUGGACCUUACACAGGUGCUGCAUGGUUGUCGUCAGCUCGUGUCGUGAGAUGUUGGGUUAAGUCCCGCAACGAGCGCAACCCUCAUUCUUAGUCACCAACAGGUAAUGCUGGGCACUCUAAGGAAACUGCCAGUGAUAAACUGGAGGAAGGUGGGGAUGAUGUCAAAUCAGCACGGCCCUUAUAAGGUGGGCUACACACGUGCUACAAUGGCAACUACAAUAGGUUGCGAGACCGCAAGGUUUAGCUAAUCCAUAAAAGUUGUCUCAGUUCGGAUUGUUCUCUGCAACUCGAGAGCAUGAAGUCGGAAUCGCUAGUAAUCGUGGAUCAUCACGCCACGGUGAAUACGUUCUCGGGUCUUGUACACACUGCCCGUCACGCCAUGGGAAUUGGCUUAACUCGAAGCUGGUGUGC
rnacentral:rRNA from 1 species